rnacentral:lncRNA from 1 species
UUAUUUUUGCUUUGAUUUUUAGUUUGCUUGCAUUAGUUGAAAUUUUUUCAUUUUUGCUUUCAAUAACACACACAAAUAGCCACAGUUUUUUUAUUUACUUUGUUUCUGUUUUUUUUUUAGAUGCUUUACUCAUCAUAUAGACUAUGUUGGAUGAGCUUUUCUUUCCAUGACCCCAUUGAUGUUAUGACUCUUUAAACUUAUGUUGAAUCAAUUGCAGUGAGUUAUAUUCAUGUUUGAGAAUUGCCUUUUGAAUUGAAUCUUUGAGCUUUACAUGGUGAAAAAUAUAUUGAUGACCCUCAAUUGAUGAGAAUAAAUUAAAAAAUUGUGUGAAUGAACUUAAUGUGACUUGAUUUAGCAAUUGGUGUUGAUUUGCCCAAAUUAUUGAGAGAAAGAAAAUUCAGCAAAGGCAAAGACCUCAAAAGCACA